rnacentral:rRNA from 1 species
GAUGAACGCUGGCGGCGUGCCUAAUACAUGCAAGUCGAGCGAGAAGCUUGGAAAUGACGCUUCGGUUGAUUUUCCAAGCGGACAGCGGCGGACGGGUGAGUAACGCGUAGGCAACCUACCCCUGACAGAGGGAUAGCCAUUGGAAACGAUGAUUAAAACCUCAUGACACCGUAGUAGCACAUGCUACAUCGGUCAAAGAUUUAUCGGUCAGGGAUGGGCCUGCGUCUGAUUAACUGGUUGGUGAGGUAACGGCUCACCAAGGUGACGAUCAGUAGCCGACCUGAGAGGGUGAUCGGCCACAUUGGAGCUGAGACACGGUCCAAACUUCUACGGAAGGCAGCAGUAGGGAAUCUUGCACAAUGGGCGAAAGCCUGAUGCAGCAACGCCGCGUGAAGGAUGAAGGCCUUCGGGUUGUAAACUUCUGUUCUAAGGGAAGAAAGAAAUGACGGUACCUUAGGAGCAAGCCCCGGCUAACUACGUGCCAGCAGCCGCGGUAAUACGUAGGGGGCAAGCGUUAUCCGGAAUUAUUGGGCGUAAAGAGUGCGUAGGUGGUUAUGUAAGUCUGAUGUGAAAAUGCAGGGCUCAACUCUGUAUUGCGUUGGAAACUGUAUAACUAGAGUACUGGGGAGGUAAGCGGAACUACAAGUGUAGAGGUGAAAUUCGUAGAUAUUUGUAGGAAUGCCGAUGGGGAAGCCAGCUUACUGGACAGAUAUUGACGCUGAAGCGCGAAAGCGUGGGUAGCAAACAGG